AGACCCUGAUCCUGCAAUCGGAUCUGCAAAGUUAUUCUUGAGUGGGGCCAACUAAAGGAAGUCUCCUUAUCCUUAUGGCUGUAAAAAUCUAUCUGUCCUAUAUCUUCUUCCCAAGAGAAAUGAUCUUUUAACAAAGGUGGUUGGCAGCCAGCAGUUACACUGCACAGUUCUUCAGGGAUUGUUCCUAUGAUAAAUAAUACCUCAAUACCUCAGAGCAGCAGCAGCAAAAUUGAUAACAUGUUCCUUUAACUCAUACUUGGUUGAUGAACUAGAAGAACUUUCAACUCCUAUAAGAAUAGAAUUUAGAGUAGUCACUGUGAACUUUUCUGGGUAUUCUAAUAUGAAACUUUUUAAUGUAUUUCAUGUCACACAUACAGUAUUGAUUCAUUUUGACAGCACUAAUAUCCCCCAUCAUUUUCUUUCAUUGUUCAUAAUAAAGAUGGGGAUUUGAUGCUCCCAAAGUGAAUCAAUAGGAUACUGUAUGUGGAUCAUAUAACACAUUACAAACUUGCAUUCAUCAUGAAACAUGACUAUCAAUCCAUAUUACAAUAUUAAUAUAAGGAAUUUUGA